rnacentral:rRNA from 1 species
GAGAGGACGAUCAGCCACACUGGGACUGAGACACGGCCCAGACUCCUACGGGAGGCAGCAGUGGGGAAUCUUGCGCAAUGGGCGAAAGCCUGACGCAGCAACGCCGCGUGGAGGACGAAGGCUUUCUGAGUUGUAAACUCCUUUCAGCAGGGACGAUAGUGACGGUACCUGCAGAAGAGGCACCGGCCAACUACGUGCCAGCAGCCGCGGUGAUACGUAGGGUGCAAGCGUUGUCCGGAUUUAUUGGGCGUAAAGAGCUCGUAGGCGGUUUGAUAAGUCGGGUGUGAAACCUCCAGGCUCAACCUGGAGCCGCCACUCGAUACUGUCAUGACUAGAAUUCGGUAGGGGACCACGGAAUUCCUGGUGUAGCGGUGAAAUGCGCAGAUAUCAGGAGGAACACCAGCAGCGAAGGCGGUGGUCUGGGCCGACAUUGACGCUGAGGAGCGAAAGCGUGGGGAGCGAACAGGAUUAGAUACCCUGGUAGUCCACGCCGUAAACGUUGGGCACUAGGUGUGGGGACUAUUCAACGGUUUCCGUGCCGCAGCUAACGCAUUAAGUGCCCCGCCUGGGGAGUACGGCCGCAAGGCUAAAACUCAAAGGAAUGACG